rnacentral:rRNA from 1 species
GCAUGGUUGUCGUCAGCUCGUGUCGUGAGAUGUUGGGUUAAGUCCCGCAACGAGCGCAACCCUUGUCUUUAGUUGCCAUCAUUAAGUUGGGCACUCUAGAGAGACUGCCAGGGAUAACCUGGAGGAAGGUGGGGAUGACGUCAAAUCAUCAUGCCCCUUAUGCUUAGGGCUACACACGUGCUACAAGGGGUAGUACAGAGGGUUCCCAAGCCGUAAGGUGGAGCUAAUCCCUUAAAGCUACUCUCAGUUCGGAUUGUAGGCUGAAACUCGCCUACAUGAAGCUGGAGUUACUAGUAAUCGCAGAUCAGA